rnacentral:rRNA from 1 species
GUUUAGCCGUAAAUAAACUUACACCCCCAACACGCCAAAGGNUUACAAGUGCAAGCCUAAAACUUAAGGACUUGACGGUGUCUCAUCCUCCUAGAGGAGCCUGUCCUAUAAUCGAUAACCCCCGAUAUACCCGACUGCUUUUUGCCUCUCAGCCUGUAUACCUCCGUCGAAAGCUUACCUUGUGAAAGCCACUUAGUGAGCCAAUAGGCUAUUACGCCAUUAUGUCAGGUCAAGGUGCAGCCAAUAUAGCAGCAGAGAUGGGCUACAGUUUCUAUAAUAGAACAUACAGAUGGAUUUCCAAUGAAACAGACCAGAAGGCGGAUUUAGAANUAAAAAGAAAAUAAANAUUCCUUUUUAAUUAGGUCCGUUUAGCCGUAAAUAAACUUACACCCCCAAC